rnacentral:rRNA from 1 species
UACGAAGGGGGCGAGCGUUGUUCGGAAUCACUGGGCGUAAAGCGCACGUAGGCGGCUUUCUAAGUCAGGGGGUGAAAUCCUGGAGCUCAACUCCAGAACUGCCUUUGAUACUGGAAAGCUUGAGUUCGGGAGAGGUGAGUGGAACUGCGAGUGUAGAGGUGAAAUUCGUAGAUAUUCGCAAGAACACCAGUGGCGAAGGCGGCUCACUGGCCCGAUACUGACGCUGAGGCACGAAAGCGUGGGGAGCAAACAGG